rnacentral:snRNA from 1 species
CUAAGAACCCACCAAUAAGGAU